rnacentral:rRNA from 1 species
GCAAGUCGAACGGAAAGGCUCCUUGCUUGCAAGGGGUACUCGAGUGGCGAACGGGUGAGUAACACGUGGGCGAUCUGCCUUGCACUUCGGGAUAAGCCUGGGAAACUGGGUCUAAUACCGGAUAGGACCAUGCUUUAGUGUGUGUGGUGGAAAGUUUUUUCGGUGCAAGAUGAGCCCGCGGCCUACCAGCUUGUUGGUGGGGUAAUGGCCUACCAAGGCGACGACGGGUAGCCGGCCUGAGAGGGUGUACGGCCACAUUGGGACUGAGACACGGCCCAGACUCCUACGGGAGGCAGCAGUGGGGAAUAUUGCACAAUGGGCGCAAGCCUGAUGCAGCGACGCCGCGUGGGGGAUGAAGGCCUUCGGGUUGUAAACUCCUUUCGCUAGGGAAGAAGCCACUUGUGGUGACGGUACCUGGAUAAGAAGCACCGGCUAACUACGUGCCAGCAGCCGCGGUAAUACGUAGGGUGCGAGCGUUGUCCGGAAUUACUGGGCGUAAAGAGCUCGUAGGUGGUUUGUCGCGUCGUCUGUGAAAUCCCGGGGCUUAACUUCGGGCGUGCAGGCGAUACGGGCAUAACUAGAGUGCUGUAGGGGAAAAUGGAAUUCCAAGUGUAGCGGUGGAAUGCGUAGAUAUUUGGAGGAACACCAGUGGCGAAGGCGAUUUUCUGGUCUA